rnacentral:rRNA from 1 species
UACGGAAGGCAGCAGUGGGGAAUAUUGCACAAUGGGCGCAAGCCUGAUGCAGCCAUGCCGCGUGUAUGAAGAAGGCCUUCGGGUUGUAAAGUACUUUCAGUCGUGAGGAAGGUGUUAAGGUUAAUAACCUUAGCAAUUGACGUUAGCGACAGAAGAAGCACCAGCUAACUCCGUGCCAGCAGCCGCGGUAAUACGGAGGGUGCGAGCGUUAAUCGGAAUUACUGGGCGUAAAGGGCACGCAGGCGGUUAAUUAAGUUGGAUGUGAAAUCCCCGGGCUUAACCUGGGAAUGGCAUUCAAGACUGGUUAGCUAGAGUCUUGUAGAGGGGGUUAGAAUUCCAUGUGUAGCGGUGAAAUGCGUAGAGAUGUGGAGGAAUACCGGGUGGCGAAGGCGGGCCCCUGGGACAAAGACUGACGCUCAUGUGCGAAAGCGUGGGGAGCAAACGAGGAUUAGGAUACC